ensembl:misc_RNA Metazoa_SRP Metazoan signal recognition particle RNA
GCUGGGUGUGGUGGUUCACACCUGUAAUUCCCAGAACUUUGGAAGGCGGAGGUGGGUGGUUCACUUGAGGUCAGGAGUUCAAGACAAGCCUGGCCAACACAGUGAAAACCCGUCUCUA